rnacentral:rRNA from 1 species
GACGAACGCUGGCGGCGUGCUUAACACAUGCAAGUCGAACGGAAAGGCCCUGCUUUGGUGGGGUGCUCGAGUGGCGAACGGGUGAGUAACACGUGGGUAACCUGCCCUUGACUUUGGGAUAACUUCGGGAAACUGGGGCUAAUACCGGAUAGGAGCACGGGCUGCAUGGUGGGGGGGGGAGAGUUUCGGCGGUUGGGGAUGGACUCGCGGCUUAUCAGCUUGUUGGUGGGGUAGUGGCUUACCAAGGCUUUGACGGGUAGGCGGCCUGAGAGGGUGAGCGGCCACAUUGGGACUGAGAUACGGCCCAGACUCCUACGGGAGGCAGCAGUGGGGAAUAUUGCACAAUGGGCGGAAGCCUGAUGCAGCAACGCCGCGUGCGGGAUGACGGCCUUCGGGUUGUAAACCGCUUUCGCCUGGGACGAAGCGUGAGUGACGGUAACUGGUAAAGAAGCACCGGCUAACUACGUG